rfam:Myotis brandtii contig265900, whole genome shotgun sequence.
GGUGGUUCUCAGGUGACGCACCCCAGAAUCGGGCUCUCUCCUCUCUGGUUCCGGGUGCGUCACUCCAGAACUGCA